rnacentral:lncRNA from 1 species
GCUUAUUUAUUGAUAUCCCCGAUAAGUUACAAAUAUGUACAUAUACUUGAGUCAAAAUAAACAAACAAGAGGGAACCUUUACAAAGGUUGCUUAGGAGAAGUCUCAGCAGUCGGUAGAGCCCCAGAAAGAGAAGGCACCGGAGGGGGAUCAUUCGGAGCCUCAGUACUGGACAAAACCCUCGAAGGAGGAGGCAUCAGAGGUUGAUCAUUUGGAGCUUCAUUAAGCGGUACAGCCCCAGAAGACGAAGGCAAUAAAUGCUUUUGGAACAAACCCACAAAUCUCUGAUGAUCAAGUAAAACCUGA